UACGUAGGGGGCAAGCGUUGUCCGGAAUUAUUGGGCGUAAAGAGCGUGUAGGCGGUCCGGUAAGUCCGCUGUAAAAGUCAAAGGCUCAACCUUUGAAUGUCAGUGGAUACUGCCGGGCUAGAGUCCGGAAGAGGCGAGUGGAACUCCUGGUGUAGCGGUGGAAUGCGCAGAUAUCAGGAAGAACACCAACGGCGAAGGCAGCUCGCUGGGACGGUACUGACGCUGAGACGCGAAGCGUGGGGAGCGAACAGG
rnacentral:rRNA from 1 species